rnacentral:rRNA from 1 species
GGGCCCGCACAAGCAGUGGAGUAUGUGGUUUAAUUCGAAGCAACGCGAAGAACCUUACCAGGUCUUGACACCUACCGAAUCCUUCAGAGAUGAGGGAGUGCCCUUCGGGGAACGGUAAGACAGGUGGUGCAUGGUUGUCGUCAGCUCGUGUCGUGAGAUGUUGGGUUAAGUCCCGCAACGAGCGCAACCCUUACAGUCAGUUGCUACGCAAGAGCACUCUGGCAGGACUGCCGUUGACAAAACGGAGGAAGGUGGGGACGACGUCAAAUCAUCAUGCCCCUUAUGACCUGGGCUACACACGUACUACAAUGGGCGUUAACAGAGGGAAGCAAAACCGCGAGGCGGAGCAAACCCCUAAAAACGUUCUCAGUUCGGAUCGCAGGCUGCAACUCGCCUGCGUGAAGCUGGAAUUGCUAGUAAUCGCGGAUCAUCAUGCCGCGGUGAAUACGUUCCCGGGCCUU